rnacentral:rRNA from 1 species
UAGGGAAUCUUCGGCAAUGGACGAAAGUCUGACCGAGCAACGCCGCGUGAGUGAAGAAGGUUUUCGGAUCGUAAAACUCUGUUGUUAGAGAAGAACAAGGACGUUAGUAACUGAACGUCCCCUGACGGUAUCUAACCAGAAAGCCACGGCUAACUACGUGCCAGCAGCCGCGGCAAUACGUAGGUGGCAAGCGUUGUCCGGAUUUAUUGGGCGUAAAGCGAGCGCAGGCGGUUUCUUAAGUCUGAUGUGAAAGCCCCCGGCUCAACCGGGGAGGGUCAUUGGAAACUGGGAGACUUGAGUGCAGAAGAGGAGAGUGGAAUUCCAUGUGUAGCGGUGAAAUGCGUAGAUAUAUGGAGGAACACCAGUGGCGAAGGCGGCUCUCUGGUCUGUAACUGACGCUGAGGCUCGAAAGCGUGGGGAGCAAACAGG